GCUGGGUUCAGAACGUCGUGAGACAGUUCGGUCCCUAUCCGUCGUGGGCGUAGGAAAUUUGAGAGGAGCUGUCCUUAGUACGAGAGGACCGGGAUGGACAUACCUCUGGUGUACCAGUUGUCGUGCCAACGGCAUAGCUGGGUAGCUAUGUAUGGACGGGAUAAGUGCUGAAAGCAUCUAAGCAUGAAGCCCCCCUCAAGAUGAGAUUUCCCAACUUCGGUUAUAAGAUCCCUCAGAGAUGAUGAGGUUAAUAGGUUCGAGGUGGAAGCGUGGUGACACGUGGAGCUGACGAAUACUAAUCGAUCGAAGACUUAAUCAAUUU
rnacentral:rRNA from 1 species